UCCUGGUGGCUCAGGCGGUAAAGAAUCUGCCUACGAUGCAGAGGAUCUGGGUUCGAUCCCUGGAUCAGGAA
rnacentral:tRNA from 1 species